AAAAAGAUUUGCUAUGGCCAACAAAGGAAACUGUCACACCUUUUCCCAUCACCGCUUUAAUUUAUGCUCAGUCUCCAAGUUUUUUUUUUCAUAUUGAUUUGAUAAUCACUUUAAUGCAGAACAUUUAAAAUAAGAAAGAGCUUGGCUCUGUGGAGGCCCAGUGUGGGCUUGUUCUCAAUGGCCAAGGUGGAGUGAUAAGAAGAGGUGGCACCUGUGUGGUCAACCCCACAGACUUAUUUUGCUCUGUCCCUGGCCGUUUGUCCCUUCUUAGUUCUACUUCCAAAUACAAGGUGACCAUUGCUGAGGUAAAGAGGCGCCUCUCCCCACCUGAGUGCCUCAAUGCUUCACUCUUGGGAGGCAUUUUGAGAAGAGCAAAAUCAAAGAAUGGGGGCCGCUGCCUGAGAGAGAAAUUGGAUAGGCUUGGCUUAAACUUACCAGCAGGAAGACGGAAAGCAGCUAAUGUCACCCUCCUUACUUCCUUGGUCGAAGGGGAGGCUUUGCACUUGGCUCGGGAUUUUGGCUACACUUGUGAAACAGAGUUUCCAGCCAAAGCAGUAGGAGAACAUCUUGCCAGACAACAUAUGGAACAGAAAGAACAGACAGCAAGAAAAAAGAUGAUCCUGGCGACCAAACAAAUCUGUAAAGAAUUCCAAGACCUCCUGAGCCAAGAUAGAUCACCACUGGGAUCCUCCAGA
rnacentral:sRNA from 1 species